rnacentral:rRNA from 1 species
UUGACAUCCACGGAAUUUGGCAGAGAUGCCUUAGUGCCUUCGGGAACCGUGAGACAGGUGCUGCAUGGCUGUCGUCAGCUCGUGUUGUGAAAUGUUGGUUAAGUCCCGCAACGAGCGCAACCCUUAUCCUUUGUUGCCAGCGAUUCGGUCGGGAACUCAAAGGAGACUGCCGGUGAUAAACCGGAGGAAGGUGGGGAUGACGUCAAGUCAUCAUGGCCCUUACGGCCAGGGCUACACACGUGCUACAAUGGCGCAUACAAAGAGAAGCGACCUCGCGAGAGCAAGCGGACCUCAUAAAGUGCGUCGUAGUCCGGAUUGGAGUCUGCAACUCGACUCCAUGAAGUCGGAAUCGCUAGUAAUCGUAGAUCAGAAUGCUACGGUGAAUACGUUCCCGGGCCUUGUACACACCGCCCGUCACACCAUGGGAGUGGGUUGCAAAAGAAGUAGGUAGCUUAACCUUCGGGAGGGCGCUUACCACUUUGUGAUUCAUGACUGGGGUGAAGUCGUAACAAGGUAAGCGUAGCGAG